CGUUCCAUUGUUUCUAUCGAAUCGAAUAGCCGAGCCCUAAUCUCUCAUCUCUGAUCUCUCCCUCAUCUAGCCGACAAGCCCUCAUCUCAUCUCUCUCUCCCUUGUUCUUCUCAAUUCCCACACCGACGUCGUUCCGGCCGAGCACGACAAGUGGGUACACCCCCCUUUCUCGGCCAACUUGGACUCGAACGGUGACGUUUACGCCAGGGGGUCCCAGGACAUGAAGUGCGUCGGGAUUCAGUACUUGGAGGCGAUUCGACGGCUCAAGGCUUCUGGGUUUAAGCCCAAAAGGUCUGUUUAUUUGUCAUAUGGUCCUGAUGAGGAGAUUGGGGGACACGACGGUGCUGAGAAGCUGGCUGAAUCUAAUGUUUUCAAGGGAUUGAACGUCGGAAUUAUGCUUGAUGAAGGCUCGGAUUGUAAUCCUUGAGAAACCCACUGCCGUAAAUCUGCCUUAAGAGCUGCAAUUUUCCUAGAGUCAUAUAUAUAUCGAUCAAUUACUCAACUUUGAUGAUAGAAGUCAUAACGUUUGUUCUGCUUGCUUCCAGUUUCUGGAAUUCAAGACAAGUAUCCAGACAAUUUUGACCUUGAUAUAUUAACAAUGGUCGUGAAGAGAAAGAAGAAGAUGAUUAUAGGUUGUACCAUAAGAGGGAGAUCAAUGAAUUUCGUUACCCUUAAAAACGGUUGAAUUUCAUUUAUUGUGUUCUGGAAAAUGAG